rnacentral:rRNA from 1 species
GAACUGAAGAGUUUGAUCCUGGCUCAGAUUGAACGCUGGCGGCAUGCCUAACACAUGCAAGUCGAACGCGAAAGGUCCUUCGGGGCCGAGUAGAGUGGCGGACGGGUGAGUAACGCGUGGGAAUCUGCCCAGUAGUGGGGGAUAACUCGGGGAAACUCGAGCUAAUACCGCAUACGCCCUACGGAAGGCUUCAACGCUGUGGAUGAACCGCGUCAGAUUUAAGCUAGUUGGUAGAAUGGCCUGCAAGGCGACGAUCUGUAGCUGGUCUGAGAGGACGAACAGCCACACCAGGACUGAGACGGCCAGACUCCUACGGGAGGCAGCAGUGGGGAAUAUUGGACAAUGGAGCGAAAGCCUGAUCCAGCAAUGCCGCGUGUGUGAGAAGGCCUGCGGGUUAUGGCUUUUCGGUUGGGAAGAUGAUGACGUUACCAACAGAAGAAGCACCAGUAACUCUCCGUGCCAGCAGCCGCGAUACGGAGAUGCAAGCGUUAAUCCGAGAUUACUGGGCGUAAAGCGCGCGUAGGCGCUUCGGUCAGUCAGAUGUAGCCAGGCUCAACAGAAUUGCAUUUGAUACUGGCUGAAGUAUACGAGCCUGAAAGUGGAAAUUCCAGGUGUAGCGGUGAAAUGCGUAGAUGUCUGGAGGAACACCAGUGGCGAAACGCUUCCUGGACCAAUGCGGCGCUGGUGCAGCGUGGGUGGCAGCAGUUAAGAAUGCCCUGGUGAUCCGCGCCAUAAACGAUGUCAACUGGCCGUCAGUUCAUUUUAGGAAUUUGGUGGCGCAGCUAACGCGAUAAAGUUGACCGCCUGGGAGUACAGCCGCAAGGUUAAAAACUCAAAGGGAAUUGACGAAAUUGCUGACAGUGGAGCAUGUGGUUUAAUUCGAUGCUUUGCGAAGAACCUUACCAGCCCUUGACAUCCUCGGAACUUUCCAAAUGGAUUGGUGCCUUUGAGCCAGUGACAGGUGCUGCGUCGCUGUCGUCCGGCUCGUGUCGUGAGAUGUUGGGUUAAGUCCGUAACGAGCGCAACCCUUGUCCUUAGUUGCCAGCACGUAAUGGUGGGAACUCUAAGGAGACUGCCGGUGACAAACCGGAGGAAGGUGGGGAUGACGUCAAGUCAUCAUGGCCCUUAUGGGCUGGGCUACACACGUGCUACAAUGGCCGGUACAGAGGGCUGCAAACCCGCGAGGGGGAGCUAAUCUCACAAAACCGGUCGUAGUCCGGAUCGCAGUCUGCAACUCGACUGCGUGAAGUCGGAAUCGCUAGUAAUCGCAGAUCAGAAUGCUGCGGUGAAUACGUUCCCGGGCCUUGUACACACCGCCCGUCACACCAUGGGAGUGGGUUGCAAAAGAAGUGGGUAGCUUAACCUCCGGGAGGGCGCUCACCACUUUGUGAUUCAUGACUGGGGUGAAGUCGUAACAAGGUAGCCGUAGGGGAACCUGCGGCUGGAUCACCUCCUUUAAA